AUGCAGAUAAGAGUUGUUUUUUUUCUUUUUCAUCCAGACUUCAUUAAAUACAUCAAAUUCCAGCGAGUCGACACACCUAGACGGAGCGACAGCAGCGUCUGCGCCCUGCAGACUCCCUCGAUGAGGCUUCGGCGUCGGCCCCUCGACGGGGGACAUGAGACGACAGAACGAAACGGCGCACAGGCAAUGGAGGUAGCAGCACAUCACUGGAUCACAGGACCAGCAAAGGACAUGGCCUCGCCUCCGUGACAGACAAAAACACCAGUGAACAAGCAACGUGACAGGUGCAAAACAAUAAAUGCGUCACAUACUGCCUUAUGCACACACACACACACACACACACACACACACACAGGCCCACGAAACAUGUCUUACCAAUCAUCAGACAAAACACCCACCUUUGUGCAAUAGGAAGACAGACACAAAAUUUUGUCUUCAACUAGGCGUUUCAUGACAGUUGGACGGCGAGGACAACGGAACGGAACGACGCCCGAUCGCAUCGAAAUCAUCGGUUCAUCCGAAAUGACAAGAAAAAAAGAGCACGAAACAAAAGGUCUGGCGUGAGUUGAGCCUCGUGAUCAGACGAGGACCGUCGCGCUCACAUAGUGGGGGGUUUAAUUUCAUAAAGGCCACUGAGACAGCCGAGCUUGCCUGGUGUCUCCGACCCCAAUGCCCUGUUGCCCUUCCGCAUUUCUUGUAUUUUAUUUUUUUUUUUACUUUCCAUCCCCACGUACAAGUAUGCUACCACCUCUCUAUGAUAUUGCACUGAAUAAAGCCUUUGUGUUAGCAGCCAGCAUUACUUCGCAGAAUGCCUCGAGAACAGUGUAGUCUAUUUGAGAUUUUCCUCAAGGGAGCCCAGUGUCUGUUUCCUUGUAUUGACACUGAUACUCCAGAAAAUUGUAUGUUUUUUAUGUAUUUUUGGGGGCUGAGAAAAAGCCCUGUCGGAAAUGUAACUAGACGCUUUGCUUUCACAGCUACCCUGCUUGAAAUAAAUGUCAAUUUUCUUUGACUUGGUGGUAAAGAAAAGAGAGAAAUGUAUGUCAUGAAAAUCCUAGUUUUUUUUUUCUUUUUAAAUAUCUCUUGAUUCAAAAUACAUCACAGUAAUGUGUUUUUUGUGUCUGCAGCUGACCCCCUCGCUUGAUUUUGGCACUGCACUGUACAUAAUCUAGUUGAUUCGUUAGCGAUCACCCAACAUGAAUAAUUGUAUGACUGGUUAUAUUUAAAUAGGCCCACGCAGUCCGGGGGACACAGCUCGCAUCCUCUCUUGUCUGUUGUUG
rnacentral:lncRNA from 1 species